UUGUGCCUUUAAGAGGAGGAGCUGGGAUGGGAUGGGUCUGACCUCCCUGGGGUGGAUGCUCAUGGCCUGACAUGAGCUGGUGCGGUGUUCCUCUGGCUGGCAUUCUCCUUUCUUGGGAGCAUUGUCCUCAUUCCUAACUCUAGAAUGUCUGUUCCAUUGUGAUGGUGCCUGGGUAGAUGCCAAUCAGGAAACGUCAUGUCCCACAGGGUGUCUGAGUGAGCCACUCUCUCACAUGCAUUACUGCUGUAGUUUGUUCUGGAUGAGCAUUUCCUGAACUGUGGGCCAUGGCACUCUCUUCUUUUGUCAGGAAAGGAGUUCUUGCAGAAUUCAGUUUGAGAAAUGCUGCAUACUUGCCUUGAGUUUUCUCUGAAGAUCAUGGUGCCCAUUAGUACCUUCAUGGCUCUGAGAAGUUGGGCAAACCAAGAAACUGGCUGAACAUUGUUGAAUGCAGUGUUCCCUAUACUUCUUUGCCCAUGGAACACUGCUUGUACAUUACACUUAGUCACACCGGAAUCCAGUUCUUCCAGGUGGCCUCUCCGAGAGCAGCAGAGUCCCUUCAGUGGAUCAGCAAGUGAAUCAUUUUCUUAUGGGAGAGGACCUGAGUACCAGUGCCCGCCCACUGACUCCUCUCUGCCUUUGGACUGAGCCGUGUGGAUUCUCCAAGACUUGUCCAUUCAGCCCUCAACAUCCUGCUCUCAUUCUUCAGAAACUGGUGUCCUGCCCAUCCUCAUGGAGCCUCCACUGUGUCCUCAGGCCCUUCUCUGUUAUCUCCAGCCUCUGAGUCAUCCAGCCCGCUAAUAUUCACUUAUUGCUCGUUGGCAACAUGCAGAGCACUGUGUGAGAUCUUGGACAUCAAAAAAUCAUCUCAUCAGAUCUUCCAAAUCAGUUUGCGUGCUCUGUAUGUGAACGUGGACCCUCCUGGGAUGUCAAAAGGAGCUCCUUCCUUGGGGCAGAUGUGCUGUGUACUGUCAUCAAGCAAGCUGGCAUUGAGAUCCUGGCAUGACCCACAUCCAUCUGAUGUUGUAUGAUAGAGAAACAAUAAAGCUUGAAUCUUGACAUCUAGCAAGACCUUGGAUGAGUAAAAGCAUGUCAUGUUUGUUAAUACUUCAGAAAAAU